AUUGAACGCUGGCGGAAUGCUUAACACAUGCAAGUCGAACGGGUGUAGCAAUACAUCAGUGGCAGACGGGUGAGUAACACGUGGGAACCUUCCUAGAGGUACGGAACAACUCAGGGAAACUUGAGCUAAUACCGUAUAAGCUCUUGCGCGGAAAGAUUUAUCGCCUUUAGACGGGCCCGCGUAGGAUUAGGUAGUUGGUGGGGGAAUGGCCUACCAAGCCUACGAUCCUUAGCUGAUCUGAGAGGAUGAUCAGCCACACUGGGACUAAGACACGGCCCAGACUCCUACGGGAGGCAGCAGUGGGGAAUCUUGGACAAUGGGCGCAAGCCUGAUCCAGCCAUGCCGCGUGAGUGAAGAAGGCCUUCGGGUUGUAAAGCUCUUUUACCAGGGACGAUAAUGACGGUACCUGGAGAAUAAGCCCCGGCAAACUUCGUGCCAGCCGCCGCAGUAA
rnacentral:rRNA from 1 species